UACGAAGGGGGCUAGCGUUGCUCGGAAUUACUGGGCGUAAAGGGAGCGUAGGCGGACAUUUAAGUCAGAGGUGAAAUCCCGGAGCUUAACUUCGGAACUGCCUUUGAUACUGGGUGUCUUGAGUGUGAGAGAGGUAUGUGGAACUCCGAGUGUAGAGGUGAAAUUCGUAGAUAAUUCGGGAAGAACACCAGUGGCGAAGGCGACAUACUGGCUCAUUACUGACGCUGAGGCUCGAAAGCGUGGGGAGCAAACAGG
rnacentral:rRNA from 1 species